GAUCUCCUGCUCGGUGCGUGAUGGGCUCUUUUAAACCCACAUUUCUAAAACGGGACACCCCCUCACAGCGUGGCUUGCAGGCCUCCCGGCUGCCCCUGCGGCAUGCUGGAAGUUGGAAGCAGUAAAGCGCUGUGGAGGUGACCCACCUGCCAGUCGUGCAGGUUUUAAACGGGCCCACACGGCCAGAGCGGGGUAUAA
rnacentral:other from 1 species